rnacentral:rRNA from 1 species
AGUUACCAGCACGUUAUGUGGGCACUCUAAGGAGACUGCCGGUGGACAAACCGGAGGAAGGUGGGGAUGACGUCAAGUCAUCAUGGCCCUUACGGCCUGGGCUACACACGUGCUACAAUGGUCGGUACAAAGGGUUGCCAAGCCGCGAGGUGGAGCUAAUCCCAUAAAACCGAUCGUAGUCCGGAUCGCAGUCUGCAACUCGACUGCGUGAAGUCGGAAUCGCUAGUAAUCGUGAAUCAGAAUGUCACGGUGAAUACGUUCCCGGGCCUU